UACGUAGGGGGCGAGCGUUGUCCGGAUUCAUUGGGCGUAAAGAGCUCGUAGGCGGUUCGGUAAGUCGGGUGUGAAAUCUCCGUGCUCAACACGGAGCGGCCACCUGAUACUGCCGUGACUCGAGUCCGGUAGGGGAGUGUGGAAUUCCCGGUGUAGCGGUGAAAUGCGUAGAUAUCUGGAGGAACACCGGUGGCGAAGGCGGCAUCCUGGACCGGUAUUGACGCUGAGGCGCGAAAGCCAGGGGAGCAAACGGG
rnacentral:rRNA from 1 species